CUGACCGGUGCGAGGCGGUGCUGACCGGUGCGGGCCGGUGCGGGCCAGUGCAGGCCAGGCCCGGCCGGGGCGAGGCAGGUGGCCAGGUCCGAGGACCGCGUCGCACAGCAGCUUUCAGGACCUGGAGAGAAAUCGAGGCACAGAAACUGAGGCCCAGAAGAGCUGAAUAUUUGGCCCAGGCCACACAGGGAGUCCAGCCACGGCCUUUCUGAGCCUUGCUGUCCUUAUCUGCUGCGUCAGGAGGAUUCCCCAUGCUCUGGAAGAGCUGAUACCCUCUAGGGAGGCAGGUGAAGAAGGGAAGUCACUUGCUUCAUGGCCAGGGAAGGGCUCCAGCAAGACAUGGGCUCCUGAAAGUGACAGUGUGUGAAGGCCCGGAGAGGCACAGGACCUGGCCCCUCGCCCUCCUUGGAUUGCAGCAAGGAAAGAGGUGUGUCUUCCGCAGAAAAAUGUGCAUGUUCUUUUAGGUGUGUGGCCUCCGAGCAAGGUAUUUAGCCUGCCUCUAUGUGCUCACCUGGAAAAUGGGGUGAUGAAGAAGAUGAUGAUGAUAAUGGGAACUCCCUCUUGGAGCUGCUGUGCAGAUGAAGUUUCCUUCUAACAGUCAGGCCCCUCUGCUGCAAGUCUGCUGGAGUUUUCUGGAGGUCCACUCCAGACCUUGUUUGCCUGGGUAUCACCAGCCGAGGCUGCAGAACAGCAAAGAUUGCUGCCUGUUCCUUCCUUUGGAAGCUUUGUCCCAGGGAGGCACCCACCAGAUGCCAGCUGGAGCUCUUCUGUAUAAGGAAAAGUGGGCAAGUUUUGAGUUCAACGUGAGGCCUCAAGGAUGUGUGCAACCCAUGGUACUUGAAUUUACUUAUUGACUGUUUUUUGGAAAUCCUUAUUUCCCAAAACUCGUGGAAGGAGCUGACUUCUGGCAGGAAACGUGGAACUGGCAGCGUGUCGUGCAAGCAUCUGCAAUCCCAGUCCUGAGCUGGACUUCUCAGAGAGGCUGGGCAUUAUUUAUGGAGAUGUCGGAGUGACAGGGGGAACUUCUGGCCAGGAACUGCCGGUGGUGUCACAUCCUUAACCUGGCUGACAUCGGAACACCCUGGGGGGAGCAUUUCUCCAGGAAAGGAUGGUGGGUCAGGAGCCCGCAUGGUGUCUUUUCAAAGCAAUAAUAAAGAUAUCAGAAGGGC
rnacentral:lncRNA from 1 species